UGGAAAAGUCAAGGAAUUUCGCUGGAAGUAGUUUGCAUCGCUGUUAUUAUAUUAACAUUUCUUUUUUUUUGUUGUUGUAUGAAGUCAUGAGAUUUUGCAAUUUGAUUAAACUCGCAACCCUGAUAUUGUAUGUUUUGCGAAGAAUCAGCUGGUAUCAUGAAUUUUUUUUCUUGAGAAGCACAUUGUAAUUCUGCCCCCUAAGUAUUGUAGUAAGGACCAAGGAAUGUGAAUUGACUAUUUUGUAAAAUGACAGUUAUUGGAAUGACAGUAGGGGUCAUUAUUAUUUUCUCCCCAUAUUUGCAAAAUGAAUAAUAUUCUUCCUACUUUUAAUCCAUUUAACCAUCUCACCGCAAAACUCAUUUAUCUGAAGUUAAUUUAGAACAGUUAUAGUAAACUGCGUUCUUCUCAGAUUUUUUUAUAAAAGCACUGUUAUAAUGAAAGUUGUCAUAACUCAUAUGCAUAAGUGAUAAUACCAAUUUCUCUUCUUUCUAUUUUCCCUGCAGAAGGUUUUGGUAAAGCCAGAACUGUCGAGCGGAAUUACAUCAAUGAGAAAGAUACGAAUCUCAGCGAAAGUUCGCCACUCCCUGAAAGGCGAGCUAAAAUACCUAAGACAGUUUACUCCCCUACCUUGUCAACUGCCGGUGCGGAUGAUACUGAAUCGGAUAACUCACCAUCUAAGAGUUAUUACCUAAGAGAUAGUCGAAGCCCUCUCUCCAAGACAAAGAAAUCCUCUGUUCUUAAUCUUUCUUUUGAAGGAGAUUCAUCGGUUUUUCCAAUGAGCUCAACAAGUUCUCCAGAUAAAUCGAGAAAAAAAAAGAGCAAAUACUUACUGUUAUUGCAUCUUAAUGUGUAACAGAAAUACCGUUGAAAUAGGUUCCUGAGUCAACCAAUAAUGGCAUUAUGUCAUAGUUGUAAUUUUUCAGAAUCCAGUCAGGUAUGUGAAAUAUUCUUCCGUGAGGCAUAUCCGGUUACAUUGGUGCAUCUGAAUUCCUCUUUAAAUCAGUAAGAGUUAAAGCAAUUUUGCUCUACGAAAACUAAUUUGAGAUGAGCUUUCUUUCUACUUAAAUAAAGAAUUUACAAUUCCAUAAUCGUUAUUGAUUACUCUGAUUUAUGUUUGCUAAUAAUUUCCUCUGCAUUUUCUCCACAGAGAAGCAGCCGUCCCCAGUGAUUAAGUAUCCGACACCUCCAUCUUUGGCACACAGUGUAAAGUCACCUUGCCAUCAGCAAAAUCGGGCAUUGCGGAAAUUAUUCCAAAACAAACAUCUAGAAACUUUAGGUAGUAACUAAAUAUUUAUUUUCAAUACGUUGUUCUUGUUUAUUCCUCUUCAUUAUUGUACAACUUUUAUGACACAAGGAAUGAAAUCCUUUUCUGUUUUUGCUCGGCACAAAUGGGUCAGUGGCACCCUGUUUUUAAUUUAUUUUUCUGAAAGUACGAGGUAAACUCAGCCGCUUCUAAGAAUUUUGCUAUAUUUUUUAUAACCUAAAUUGACAAAAAAAACCUUGUUUU
rnacentral:lncRNA from 1 species